UCGCCUGCAUGAAGUUGGAAUUGCUAGUAAUCGCGGAUCAGCAUGCCGCGGUGAAUACGUUCCCGGGCCUUGUACACACCGCCCGUCACACCAUGGGAGCCGGUAAUACCCGAAGUCAGUAGCCUAACCGCAAGGGGGGCGCUGCCGAAGGUAGGAUUGGCGACUGGGGUGAAGUCGUAACAAGGUAUC
rnacentral:rRNA from 1 species